GUAGUCUCAAAUGAAUGUAUUUUUGCAGAAACAAUAUUGUAGUCUAGAGUUCUGUUGUGUGGCAGGUUUGGGAGUAAAUAGUAACAAUUUAGGGUUGAGCAGUCUCCCUAUAGCCUUGUCUUUCAGCUAUUCUGCAACCGUUGAUUGACAUCAAACUAUCAAUUCCAGUUUGUUCGCAAGGGAAACAGAGAGCCUUCAUUGACAUCAAACUGCAACCGUUGAUUGGGUUUUUACCUUUGACUAGUCGAUGGCUCACCUAAAGCACUUUCGGAAGGAUCAUCUAACACUGUAGAAAUAGUAGGACUCUCACCAUCACAGAAAUUGCAAGCUUUGGGCUGAAUGUUCUGCCACUUGUAGAUUUUGUCAUGACAAUGUCAGUGAUCACUCGAUGGAUAGGACUUUCGGAGUAUCCUACGUGUUGUGCGUUGUCGCUUUUGGUGUAUGGAUUGUGGUCCAGUAUCUCCCUGUCCAAUGAACAUCCAUUACUAGUUGAGUACGACAAUCACGCUGCUUUUAUAACAGUCAAACUAUGCUGAUUACAUGAACCAUGUCAUUGAUUGAUCCGAUAGCAAUAUCUCUUUUAUAAGGAUUUUACAUGUACGGAGGGACUGCGACUUGUUCUUCAAUUCAAAUACCUAGUUAGCUACUCAACAUCACUUUUUUCCUUCUAGAAAAUGACAACAAUACAUUCAGAAUAUUCUUAUUACAUUGUCUCAUUACACAUACAAUCCUAUAAUCAAUUAACCAACUUUACAUUUGGGUCCUUUCUCGUCUUUAUUAUCAUAUGAUAUUGAUCAAAUUCUCCAAUCAAUCUGCACUGAUUGAUACUCUACACAACCCAAAGACUUAAAUAUUUCUUUUUCAAACUGUUCUUCUUGUUUACAAUAUCUGCACUUGGGAGAACUUAGUGGUGAUGAAGACGGAUAGAUACUCCCUCUGCUAGGGUAGGUAUGAGAACCCCUGAAACUUUCUCAUCAGGAUCUGUAACUUCCCAUUUGAACUUGUUUAUUAGAAUGUGAAUGAAAUUGAGGACCACAAACCGCGUGUAGUCUUGUCCAGGGCAAGAUCUUGGUCCAGCUCCAAAGGGUAUCCAAGUGUAUGGAGCAGGAAGAAUAGUUCCUUCAAACCUUGAGGGGUCAAAACUUUCAGGUUCAGGAAAGUAGUUGGGAUCCCUAUUUGUCCCAACCAGUGACCAAAAAAUCUGUACAAAUGUAAACAAGUUAGAGAAAAAUUUAAUUUACAAGCUAACCUACAUUAAUCAAUUGGUAUCUCACAAUCUUUAAACCAAGGUACCUUCCACCCUUUUGGAAUAGAAAAACCUUCAUAUGUGAUAUCUGUUAUGACCUCUCUGAACACACCUGGUGCAGUUGGAUAGAGUCUCAUAGUCUCCUGUGCAACAGCCCAUGUGUAUUUCAGUUUCUGUAGGCUGUCCCAGUCUAGUGCUGCACCAGAUCUUUUGAAUUUUGUAAUACCAGCAUGCUC
rnacentral:sRNA from 1 species